rnacentral:rRNA from 1 species
GGUGAAGCUCAGCUUGCUGGGUGGAUCAGUGGCGAACGGGUGAGUAACACGUGAGCAAUCUGCCCCUGACUCUGGGAUAAGCGCUGGAAACGGCGUCUAAUACUGGAUACGAACCGUGGAGGCAUCUUCAACGGUUGGAAAGAUUUUUUGGUCAGGGAUGAGCUCGCGGCCUAUCAGCUUGUUGGUGAGGUAAUGGCUCACCAAGGCGUCGACGGGUAGCCGGCCUGAGAGGGUGACCGGCCACACUGGGACUGAGACACGGCCCAGACUCCUACGGGAGGCAGCAGUGGGGAAUAUUGCACAAUGGGCGAAAGCCUGAUGCAGCAACGCCGCGUGAGGGAUGACGGCCUUCGGGUUGUAAACCUCUUUUAGCAGGGAAGAAGCGAAAGUGACGGUACCUGCAGAAAAAGCGCCGGCUAACUACGUGCCAGCAGCCGCGGUAAUACGUAGGGCGCAAGCGUUAUCCGGAAUUAUUGGGCGUAAAGAGCUCGUAGGCGGUUUGUCGCGUCUGCUGUGAAAUCCCGAGGCUCAACUUCGGGUCUGCAGUGGGUACGGGCAGACUAGAGUGCGGUAGGGGAGAUUGGAAUUCCUGGUGUAGCGGUGGAAUGCGCAGAUAUCAGGAGGAACACCGAUGGCGAAGGCAGAUCUCUGGGCCGUAACUGACGCUGAGGAGCGAAAGGGUGGGGAGCAAACAGGCUUAGAUACCCUGGUAGUCCACCCCGUAAACGUUGGGAACUAGUUGUGGGGUCCAUUCCACGGAUUCCGUGACGCAGCUAACGCAUUAAGUUCCCCGCCUGGGGAGUACGGCCGCAAGGCUAAAACUC